UAGAGCUGAAAUCCUGUUAAAAUUGUUCAAAUCUGACUUCCCCUCCUCGCCACCCAAAAAUACAACUUGGCGCAUUGUCCAAACAUAUCUGAAUAGAUGUGUUAUCUACCACAUAAAUUGAGCGAAAACAGAUUUUAAAAAAUGCAUGUCCGGGAUCUUUCAUGACUAUUGCCAGAAGUGGUUCUCUCAGGCUCGCACGUUUGAAUCUCGCGAUUCCCAACUCUCAAAUCCCGCCUCAUCCCUCACGCCCCUUUAUCCUUCCUCGUCCCUUUGAGAGUGGACGGACGCCUUGCUUGUGGUGGCCCCGCUCGAGCACACGGCUCUCUGCUCACUCACCAUCCACCAUCUGGGUCUCAAUGGUCCCAAUCCACCACCACCAUUCACCACCCACCACCAACGAUUCCGUGCCCCUCGCCGUCUCACGGCUCACCACCCUCCAAGGACUGACUGACUGCGUACGGGAGAGCGGACAAGACUUGAAGCCACAACAGACGACGGAGACGGACCAGACUCCAUUUUAACGGACAAAAAAGGGAUUGAAUGGGCCUUGGCAUUGUCCACAAUUCGAGUUUGUUAGAGCGAAGAGAAAAAUAUCCCUUUACUAGUGCUACAUAUCAUCAGGAUCGUUGGAUAAUUUUACCCCAUGAUUGCAUAUCUAAUCUAGUCUCAAGAUGAUGUGUCUUCUACCCGCUAAUGCCGCUACUCAUGCGGGUGCUGCCACGGCUACGGUGGGUUCACCAACUCGGAUUUGACCGCCAGUUCGCGUUUAUUAUUCGAUUCGGAAUCUUCCUCGCCUCUUCACCUGAGAGUAGUUCACCGUCACCUCCGAUGAUGACACACCCGCUUCCACCUCAGGCUGCGGCCGUCUAGAAGCGGACCAGGGCCGACCCCCUGCCCGUGAAAUGUGCCAGUCCGCCCCAAGGAGAACAGUGUUCCGAGGAUGAGCGAAGCAGUGCCAUGAUACCUUCAUUGAAAGAGCGUGUCGAGCAGUCUCAUGAAGAACUCCUUCAAUUGAAAAUGAACCUACCCACCCAUUGGGAAGAGAAAUUCCCGGGCCGCGGCUUACCCUCAUCUUCCCUGGUUAAAGUGACUUUUGCAACAUGCGUCAAAACAUUUCAGACCUCCGCCGUAAACGGAUGCGUUCUCGAAAGAAGAGCCAAGAUUCAAUCAAACGUCGCAGCUCAACCUUAAGCACCGCCUCCUCUUCAACCGCUGCCAGCAUGACUUCAUCUGUGACUAGUGAUAUUGAAGAUGAACCCGCUCCAAGAAAGCUUUGCCCGUUAUUCAGGAAUGCGAGACUCGACCCGUGUCCGUGGCCGAUUCUCACAUAUCAAUCCUAUCCAAUCCUCGGGUCAUGGAGAGAAUGAGUUGGAAAGCGGUCUCUCAGACUUGGAAAAUAACGAGUCCUUGCUCAAGACGUGUUCUCAGGGUUCGCUAUUAGUGCGGUCUUCGGAGCAUGCAGUCAGUAUUAAAAAAUCCCACAAUCUCGCUCAUAGUUCAAACGAAACAUUGAUUAUCAAAAGUGACCUGGAGAUUCUUCAGCCUAGCAAUACCUGCCAGCCUCAAGAUCAAAGUCGAACGUCUUAUUUCGAAGAUGAAAUUGCCGAAGCCUGUGAUCUCGAAGCUGCAGAUUGGUUAUCGGAUGACGAAGAUCGAGCCACUUCUGAUCUCAGUGGGAGCUUUCUUCGAUCGUUUUUGAAUCAAAUUCAGAAUGACCAGCGUUUUAAUUGCUCCAUUCCUCUAGUUGAUCUGUUCCAAAACUCUCCUCUGGACUCAUUCAUUUGUUACGGUUGUUCCAUGCCAUAUUCCAAGAGCAAUGCUUUUACCAUUAACCUGACAGAUCAAACUGUCUCCGUGAUCUGUGGCCAUUGUCAGUGGUGGACCACCCGGAGGAUUACCACACAGACCUAUUCAUUCUAGACACAUCCGAUGACUUUUAUCGCAACCUAACGUACCACAUCAUCGCUCACCAAUCGCAAAAGCAAAUUUUGUAUUCUCCUAAUCUGAAUAAUAGAUUCAUAUUAUUUUUA